rnacentral:rRNA from 1 species
GAUGAACGCUGGCGGCGUGCCUAAUACAUGCAAGUCGAGCGAAGCGGGGACGGGUGAGUAACACGUGGAUAACCUCCUAUAAGACUGGGAUAACUUCGGGAAACCGGAGCUAAACCGGAAACUUAUAGAUGGAUCCGCGCUGCAUUAGCUAGUUGGUAAGGUAACGGCUUACAAAGGCAACGAUGCAUAGCCGACCUGAGAGGGUGAUGGGCCAUACUGUACCUGAGACACGGUCCAGACUCCUAAGGGAGGCAGCAGUAGAGAAUCUUCCGCCAUGGGCGAAAGACUGACGGAGCAACGCCGCGUGAGUUAUGAAGAUCUUCGGAUCGUAAAACUCUGUUAUUAGGGAAGCGGUACCUAAUCAGAAAGCCACGGCUAACUGCGUGCCAGAAGCCGCGGUAAUUG